UACGGAGGGUGCAAGCGUUAUCCGGAUUCACUGGGCUUAAAGGGUGCGUAGGUGGGCUUGUAAGUCAGUGGUGAAAGCCCGGAGCUUAACUCCGGAACUGCCAUUGAUACUGCAAGCCUUGAGUACACUUGAGGUGGGCGGAAUACAUCAUGUAGUGGUGAAAUACUUAGAUAUGAUGUAGAACACCGAUUGCGAAGGCAGCUCACUAAAUUGUAACUGACACUGAGGCACGAAAGCGUGGGGAUCAAACAGG
rnacentral:rRNA from 1 species